UUUGGGUCAAACCAAAAGGUCGAAGACAAUUGUAGCCGGUGUCCCACAAACUAAGGCUUGUGAAUUUGAUUAACAUUUCUGAAGAAUGCGAUCUCACCCGGACAAUGUUCAUACUCCAAGGUGCAUCCAACCUAAGGAACUGGGCAUCAUGGUGAGGAAUCAUUGGUGUGAAAUGAUAUUGGGGAAGCGGAGGAAGAGGUAUGCGUAGGAGAAGGACAAAGGACUUGAGUGGGAACCAUCUGCAUCUAAUUUCAAACACCAGUCUGGCUGAGCUCAGAAUCUAUGGUAGGUUUAAAGCAGAAGAAAAUUUUGCUAGCUAUGCCAGAUGUGUCAUGGAAGCAGUGGUGAAUCUGAAGGACAUAAAACUAUAUAAGAAUCCAGUGUGUGAUAAUCGGAAGCACAAGGUUCCAAAGGAGUGCACACGCAAGCAGAAGUUGUCUCUUAGGAACAAAAUCACUGAGGGGAUGUCAUCUCUCGUCCGGAUUCACUUUCUAUAUACAAACUGGGAGAAUAAGAAUGUCACAGAGAAGAACAAUGCAUAGUAGUACCAAUGUGUAUUACCUAGGAGAUAGAUGGGAAUGCAAGCAGGAUGUAAGUUAUGUAGGUGGCUAAUGAGCAGAUAAGCCUGUAGCACAUUUCAUACUACUAGAAUAAACAUGGCAAUGCUUUACUGUAGCAAGGAAAACAAAGCUUGGAAAUUUGAUA